rnacentral:lncRNA from 10 species
AUGCGCCCAGACACCAGCCUCUGUGCCAGCCCUGUACUUCCCACGUCCUCCCAGACCUUGAAUGCACCGCUGCCUGGGCCCGUGUUUCAGCCACACCUGCCCCCUAUAACCUAGCUCCAACCUUCAUCCCUUGGUGAGCCUCCCCUGGCAAGUCAUAGAAACCCAGAGGGAGUUCCUUAUUUCCUGGUCACCCGGCACAGCUGUUUGCAAUCUUCACUGUCCAUUAGGCACCUCAAGGGGCUUUUAAAAAUAUUCAUUCCUGGGCCCCACCCCGAGAGGUUUAUUAAGUGUGUGAACUACUGGGAUGGGUGUUGGGGAGAGAGACUAAGACAUCAUCCAAACCACAGAUGUUUUCAAUCUGAGGGGGAAAUAACAUAUGCAUGCAACUACCCCUUCCAUGAGAUGGGAGCUGUGGGGUGUUGCGAGAGAAGAAGGUUAUGUUCCCAAAGAAGUUCGAGAAAAAAGAUUUCUUAGGGUUGGGGAAUACAGAAGGCUUUGUGAGACACAAGGCCUUUAAACCUGCCUGUAUACAUGAGGAGCAUAGAGAUGGGUGGUAUAUUUACAUACUGUGCCUUCCCAACAAUCUUGUCAACUCUGUGGGGCAUGGGCACACAAAAUCUAAGUGUUUUUUAAUUAUCUUGAGCAUCUUGAGUUUGGAAAAUGCUGAAAUAAGUUUUGUUUUUGUUUUUUUUGUUUUUUUUUUUUUGUUUUUUUGAGACGGAGUCUUGCUCUGUUGCCCAGGCUGGAGUGCAGUGGUGUGAUCUCAGCUCACUGCAACCUCCACCUCCCGGGUUCAAGCGAUUCUCCUGUCUCAGCCUCCCGAGUAGCUGGGACUACAGGCACCCACCCGCCACCAAGCCUGGCUAAUUUUUGUAUUUAUUUAUUUAUUUAUUUUUUGAGACGGAGUCUCACUCUGUUGCCCAGGCUGGAGUGCAGUGGUGCGAUCUCGGCUCACUGCGAGCUCUGCCUCCCAUGUUCAUGCCAUUCUCCUGCCUCAGCCUCCCGAGUAGCUGGGACUACAGGCACCUGCCACCAUGGCUGGCUAAUUUAUUUUUAUUUUUAUUUUUAGUAAAGACGGGGUUUCACUAUAUUCGUCAGGCUGGUCUCGAACUCCUGACCUCAGGUGAUCCGCCACCUUGGCCUCCCAAAGUUCUGGGAUUAUAGGCAUGAAUCACCAGGCCCAGCCUGUUUUUUUCUUUUUUCUUUUCUUUCUUCUUCUUUUUUUUUUUUUUUUUUUGAGACAGGAUCUUGCUGCAUCACCCAGGCUGGGCUGGAGUUCAGUAGCGCAAACAUGUCUCACUGCAGCCUUUGCCUCCUGGGCUCAGGCGGUCCUCCUGCCUCAGCCUCCUGAGUAGCUGAGACCACAGGCAUGUGCCACUGCACUUGGCUAAUGUUUUUAUUUUUUAGAGAUGCCAUCUUGCUCAGGCUGGUCUCAAACUCCUGGGCUAACACCAUCCUGCCGCCUCUGCCUCCAAAAGUGCUGGGAUUACAGGUGAGAGCCACUGUGCCUGGCCUGAAAUAAGUUCUUAUUGAUUGAGGAGAGAUCUUCAAAACCUUCAUCCACAAGACCACAGGGCAGCCUAGCCAGCAUGACUAACCUCCUCAGAAGGCUAAGAAACACCAGCAUCUACCAAGGGCAUUUAUUUAAGAAAUAAUUCUGUGAAAACAGAAAUUACCUACAGAAGGGAGAGGCAAAUCCUAUCAAAUGUCUUCCCAGACCGGUGCUGGAUUCUUCCAGUGCCAGGUGCACAGGUGGGGGCUUUGCCCGGUGAGAGCCUUGGGCUGCAUCUGCACAGGGCCACCAGUUCCCCUCUCACCAACGCAGUGUUUCCUCCCAGCGAAUCAAGUCACGUAUGUGUCAUUGACCCAACCCCCCGUCAUCCCGGCAUUCUCAGGAGGCUGGUGCUGAGACUUGACUUCAUGUUGGACAUUUGCACCUCCCUGACUUUCCAAAUGGCCCAUUCGCAGUUCGAGCGCUGACAUUAAUCCAGCCACAUCUUUGUUUUCCUUCCUCUCAGAUCUACAGAUAGAACCUCGUAAAGCGCCAUGACAGUUGGCUUGCAUUUAUAAGCAGUAAUUAGCUAUCAAAUCCUUUGUGAAUCUGUUUCGAGAAGAAAAGAAUUCAAAAACACCAAGGUUCCUUCUGGGAGCAGGAGCCUUUGUCUUCUCCUCUGCCCCCGCGUUUUGGAGAGCGCUCCCAUCCCGACUGUGCUCUGUAGGAACGAGUUAUUAUCAACAUGGCACACACUGGGUAGGACCUUCAAGAGCAACGGACAAAAACACAGUCUUUCAGGGUAACAGAGAGGAUUUAUAGGCAAAAUGCAGCUAUUCUCAGAGUCUUCAAUAAAGAUAUACAACCUGAACAAAAGAUCACAGAAGUGAAGUUGUCCUUUCGACAUAAUUUGUUGAGGGUCACGAACUGUGUGAGGUGAGAAAGUUCAUCAGUGGAAAAGAGAGGAGGCGUCAGAGUUGCUUGACCACUGUGGAAGGUGGGCACUGGGUAAACCACUGGCUGUUUGAAUACUAACACAAUCUUGAAAGAGAAAGAUUCUGAUCUUGGAACUGUCCUCCACAUUUAUUAUGUAUGUAUGUGUGUAUUUUAUUUUGGAUACCAAUGUUAAAUAUUCCAAGCUUAGAGAGAAGUAGAAGAGUUAAUGACCACAUGUGUCCGUGCUUGUUAUCAUAUGUAUCCAAAAUCGUUUAUUCCUCUUUGUUGUGUAGUGUUCCGUUGCAUGGAUGGACCACUCCGUUUAUCCACUCAGUCACUGAAAGACCUUAGGGUUGUUUCCAGUUUGUGGCUAUUAUGAAUAAAACUAUGAUAGACAUUUUCAUAUAGAUUUUUGUGGAGCACAUGUUUUCAUUUCUCUAGGGUAAAUACUGAGGAACAGGAUUGCUGGGUGUAUUAGUCCUAUCCAAGACUGGGUAAUUUAUAAGGAAAAAGAGGUUUAAUGGACUCACAGUUGCAUGUGGCUGGGGAGGCCUCACAAUCAUCUCGGAAGGUGAAAGGCAUGUGUUACAUGGCAGCAGACAAAAGAAGGGCGCUUGUGCAGGGAAACUCCCCUUUAUAAAACCAUCAGGUCGGCCGGGUGUGGUGGCUCAUGCCUGUAAUCCCAAAACUUUGGGAGGCCGAGGUGGGCAGAUCACCUGAGGUUGGGAGUUUGAGACCAGCCUGACCAACAUGGAGAAACCCCAUCUCUACUAAAAAUGCAAAAUUACCUGGGCAUGGUGGCGCAUGCCUGUAAUCCUAGCUACUCAGGAGGCUGAGAGAAUCGCUUGAACCCAGGAGGCAGAAGUUGUGGUGAGCCAAGAUCGUGCCAUUGCACUCCAGCCUGGGCAACAAGAGCAAAACUCUGUCACACACACAUAUACGGAAAAAAACACCAAAAAACAAAAAAACAAAACCAUCAGAUCUCAUGACACUUACUCACUAUCACAAAAACAGCAUGGGAAAGAUCCACCCCCAUGAUUCAAUUACCUCCCAUGGGUCCCUCCCACAACACAUGGAAAUUGUGGGCGGUAUAAUUCAAGAUGAGAUUUGGGUGGGGACACAGCCAAACCAUAUCACUGGAUCA